rnacentral:lncRNA from 1 species
CUCGCGUCUGUUUACCCUGCUGGACUCAGUGGGCUUCCUCAGCAGGCUCAUGGGCAGAGGCUUUGUCUGUCUGUCAGGAAUCUCCACACUGAGAGGGCAUCUUACUCACGUGGUGUACACUGUGUUCAGCCAGGCCCUCUAAGAAACAGACACCAAGAUGAGGAAACCGAUGCAAGACAUCAAGCAGCUUCUGAGGUCGCGUGUUUGGAAGCCCAGCCCUCAAAGUGGAUGAACUUGCCCUAGGAGGAAGUUAAGCACCGUUGUCAUCAACACGGCCAUCAAUACCAUCAAAAGACAUUUAUUAAGCACCUAAUUGUGCAUAGCUCUGACUUCGACUGUGAACAGAGAAUCAGCAAAACGCUUUUGAGCCUCAGGCAUGGUGUGGCUGGAGUCUGCAUUCAUCCCUCUUCGCUGCUGAGAAGUCUUGCAGAGUUGGGAUGCCCCACGGUGAGCUGUCCACUCGCCAGUGGAUGCCUUGGUGAGUACAGUGUUGGUUCAGUAACAUUGCCAUCUUGGCCACCAGUCCUGUGGCUCAGGCCUGAAUGAAGCUCAUCUAACACACACACUGUCUGUGUGAGGCACGUCUCAGUCUUCUUGAGCUUAGGAACACUGGACAGCACUCAGCCCCACACUUUCGGGCCAUUGAACAGCAAAAUCAUCAACAACAAGCACAAAAAUUGAAAAAGCAUGCAAUUAAAGAGACCACAGAAGAGACACUUGCUCACAGCCAG